rnacentral:rRNA from 1 species
UACGGGGGGGGCAAGCGUUGUUCGGAAUUACUGGGCGUAAAGGGCUCGUAGGCGGCCAACUAAGUCAGACGUGAAAUCCCUCGGCUUAACCGGGGAACUGCGUCCGAUACUGGCAGGCUUGAAUCCGGGAGAGGGAUGCGGAAUUCCAGGUGUAGCGGUGAAAUGCGUAGAUAUCUGGAGGAACACCGGUGGCGAAGGCGGCAUCCUGGACCGGCAUUGACGCUGAGGCGCGACAGCAUGGGGAGCAAACAGG